GUCGGCCGUAGCACAGUUGCCAGCGAUUUACUGCCCAUUGGCGGCGGAUUGCGCCCAGCUGAUUUGAAGACCAGCGCCCGACUCAAGGGCAGUGUGCUGUGGUUGAUUCAGGCUGGUCCCUUCGGGACAGUCGCGCUGGCAGAGUGGUGGCCUCGGCCACAUCAUCGCUUGAUCACAUGAACUUCUGACCUAUCAGCUGUGACUGUGGUGUAGUGGACCACAGUGGCCUCGACGGGUGACGGAGAAUUAGGGUUCGAUUCCGGAGAGGGAGCCUGAGAGACGGCUACCACUACCAAGGUGGGCAGCAGGCGCGCAAAUUGCCCAAUGCACAAACAUCCUGCGGGGCAGCGACGAACCGCAGCAAUCCCGCUGGUAUCUUCACCAGCGGGACUUGGAAUGGAUGCAAUCCAAACACAGUGAUGAGUAUCAACUGGAGGGCAAGUCUGGUGCCAGCAGCUGCGGUAAUUCCAGCUCCAAGGGCGUAUACUAACAUUGCUGCUGUUAAAACACCUGUAGUCUGCCACAGGGUUGCAGGUCUGCUGGGCGGCCUGGGGUCGGGUUCGGUGUGGUUGGCCCUCGGGUCGGUCGCGUCGUCCUCGCUCUCGGGGCAAAACCCUCAGCGGUAUGUUCCUGCACCCGAUCCAAUGACGGUGAGAAUGCCCCUGCCGAAAGUCUCCUUCAGUGGGGAUCGAGGCGGUCACGCUGCCAACGCCAGUAUGGACAAAUCAACGUGGCCAGGGCCCCUCCGUGCCCUGGACUGCCCCACGCGUCCACCACCGGGGCCCACCGUUAUCGACACCGUGGAAAACUCAGUGUGCUCAAAGCGACCUGCCUAUGGCUGAAUGUCUGUCCAUGGAAUGUCAAAGCAUCGACCGAGUGAGGCAGUAGGAGUUGUGCUGGCCUUGGAGCCC
rnacentral:rRNA from 1 species